rnacentral:rRNA from 1 species
CACGUAGGGUGCGAGCGUUGUCCGGAAUUAUUGGGCGUAAAGAGCUCGUAGGCGGUGUGUCGCGUCGGCCGUGAAAACCUGCAGCUUAACUGUGGGCUUGCGGUCGAUACGGGCAUCACUGGAGUUCGGCAGGGGAGACUGGAAUUCCUGGUGUAGCGGUGAAAUGCGCAGAUAUCAGGGAGGAACACCGGUGGCGAAGGCGGGGUCUCUGGGCCG